rnacentral:rRNA from 1 species
UACGGUAGGGUGCAAGCGUUAAUCGGAAUUACUGGGCGUAAAGCGUGCGCAGGCGGUUAUGUAAGACAGUUGUGAAAUCCCCGGGCUCAACCUGGGAAUUGCGAUGGAGACUGCAAGGCUAGAAUCUGGCAGAGGGGGGUAGAAUUCCACGUGUAGCAGUGAAAUGCGUAGAGAUGUGGAGGAACACCGAUGGCGAAGGCAGCCCCCUGGGUCAAGAUUGACGCU